GGCGGCUCGAGUGGUGGCCACUAUUACUGGGCUUAAAGCGUCCGUAGCCGGGUUGUUAAGUCUCCUGGGAAAUCCAACGGCUCAACCGUUGGGCGUUCAGGGGAUACUGGCAAUCUAGGGAUCGGGGGAGGUGAGAGGUACUCUAGGGGGUAGGAGUGGAAAUCCUGUAAUCCUUGGGGGACCACCUGGUGGCGAAGGCGUCUCACCAGAACGACUCCGACGGUGAGGGACGAAAGCUGGGGGAGCAAACCG
rnacentral:rRNA from 1 species